rnacentral:rRNA from 1 species
UGGUGGAGUGAUUUGUCUGGUUGAUUCCGUUAACGAACGAGACCUCGACCUCUAGUUAGUUUUAACCAAAUUUAUUUUUGGUCUAAAAUUUUCUGAAAUGGGACUAUCGGUGUGUAGCCGAUGGAAGUUCGAGGCAAUAACA